UUAAAUGUAAACAAGAUUAGUUAUGUAAUUCGAUAACAAAAGCAUAUGAAUGUAUGAUCAAAAGUUAGGUAGUGAUGACAGAUGGUCUGGCAGCUUCUGUGUUCACUUGAGCAUUCUUUCCAAUGGGCGCUGUAGAUACAUUACUUGUCAUGGUUUUGGGCUGAACGAAUGCUUGGAAUUGAAGGAGAAGAGUCGAAAAUCGUGAAGAAAAGUCAUAUUUUUCAUCCAACGGUAUGUCGCUUAAUUUAACAAGCAAAGUAAAAAGUGAAUACAACUUGGUUGAUUCUAAUAGUUCAGAAUUUAUUGCGCUGAAAUUCUCAAUCAUCUCCAAUAUUUGGUGCACAUGAGACAUAUCCGAUUCUUGAGGAUAAUGAUUAUAUGACAGUAGGAUUUCUUGUAGUUGGUAGCGGUAAUAUAAAAGAGUAUUAAAUCGAAUAUAAUGAACUUGAGCAUACAUAUCUACAGUACUUAUAGGCUGAGCCAAUUGAUAUUCAAGUGAAAAUUUUGGUAAUUCCUCUAAAGAACCGGCAAACCUUACUCUUUUUUUGGCUGUUUUCUUGGGAGAAGGAAUUGGAGAUGGGGAUUUCUGAGCGUUGUCUGUAGCCAUCCUAACUCGAGCUGACCUACGUGAAGGUCGUUGCUUCGAUGUUUGAGAAAUUUCUGCCGACGAUUUCUCAUUUUUUAACCUUUUACCCCCGUCAAUUUUAGGUGUGGCUUCUAUCUUUUCCUUUUUUGGUUUCUCGAUGGGCUUUUGAAGUUUUUUACGAGUAUUCUCUGGUUCAAACUCAUCCUCUUCGACAUCAGAAAAAGAAACUUUUCUCUUUACGGAAGCAAUGAUGAGACCUACCGUCUUUUGGAUAUACUUUGUCGAUAAAUCAUGGUCCAAAAUAAACCUUGAUUCAUCAACAGUUAAGGGCAAAACAUUUGAAGAAGAAAUAAUAGCGUAAUCUCUUGAAGGAAGAAACUGAACAAAUAUUCCAUUGUCCAUUCGAAAAUUUCGUUUCAAUCGUUCGCGUACCUCAGUGGGUAUUGAUUUUUGGCUCGCUACUCUGGCUGGCCACCAUGGGAAGCUACUCAUCUUUGCUAAAACAUAUUCCCCAUUUUUAUAUGAUUUCCUUGGUGACGUCCUCGGAACAUACGCUAAUUGUUUACCUUUCUUUUUAACAUCACGCAGAUUUUUCGUAUUAGAAGUCUGUUGCCCGGUGGCCUUUUUUUUUGUUUUAAUCUUCUUCUGGUUAUUAAUCUCUUCAAGCUUUCUUUUUUGACUGCGUGUCCUAGCAACCAUCAUCGUUAAUUACAUUCCUUAUAAGCCAAACUUCACAUUAAAGCGAUAUAGUGCUGAAUUUUUCCAAAGAGAUUUUACAUCAAUUUGUAAAGGUUCCACCAAAUAUUAGGAUAUACAAGUAGAAACCGUAAGACGCUUGUCUAUUAUCAAUUAAUUGCAGCAACGCUUACAAGAUCUACAAUAGCAGAGGGGGGGGGUGCUAAAAGCUUGAGCUGUUGCAAUAUGAUACCUCGAUAUUUC